rnacentral:snRNA from 1 species
AGCUUUUUGCAGUUUUAAUAUCUGAUGAGGUUUAUCCAAGGUGUACUUAUUACUAAUUGAAAACUUUUCCCAAUAUCCCACUGAGAUGACUUGCAAUGUAGUCAGCAUUGGCAAUUUUUGACAGUCUCUAUGGAGA